AUUGAACGCUGGCGGCAGGCUUAACACAUGCAAGUCGAGCGAGCGGCGGACGGGUGAGUAAUGUCUGGGAAACUGCCUGAUGGAGGGGGAUAACUACUAGAAACGGUAGCUAAUCCCGCAUACAAUCAGAUGUGCCCAGAUGGGAUUAGCUCGUAGGUGGGGUAAUGGCUCACCUAGGCGACGAUCCCUAGCUGGUCCGAGAGGAUGACCGGCCAAACUGGAACUGGAACACGGUCCAGACUCCAACGGAGGGCGUCAGUGGGGAAUAUUGCACAAUGGGCGAAAUCCUGAUGCAGACCUGCCGCGUGUGUGAAGAAGGCCUUCGGGUUGUAAAGCACUUUCAGCGAGGAGGCGUUACUCGCAGAAGAAGCACCGGCUAACUCCGUGCCAGCAGCCGCGGUAAUAC
rnacentral:rRNA from 1 species